rnacentral:lncRNA from 1 species
AUUGUUGCUUCAAGAUGUUGUUGUUCCAUUUGCAAGCCAUAUUCACAAGAUUGGAGCUGCAUCUAUAGAUUUGAGAGCUCAGAUAUUUAAAAUUCCCCUUUUCAGGACAUUCUUGCAACAUAAGGAAUGGGAAUUUUGUGCAAAGGAGAAUAUCAAGAGACUUGAACCUAGACCUACCCAAACACUGCCCCACUCCUUUAAGCAAGCCUUGAGGGUUAGGUUUAGUCGAUUCUUGAGUCAACUCAACAUUCAGUUGAAGUUUCUCUUCCGGCAAAUACAUUGACAGCCUCCCUGUGCUGUUUGAUUACAGAUGAAUGUUAUUAUUGAUGGAAUCUUCUCCUUAUAGGGAAGUUUUCAUUGAUAAACGGCCUACUUGAUGUCUUCACCUCCUGUACUGAAUCUAAUAUCCAAAGUUAGAGCUAGACUCAAAUGAUUCGGAGAGGGCAUAGGAUUCAAUCAUCUUGUGUGUGGGUGCAUGAGUUGUUUUAUCCCUUAAAUUUUUGUCCAAUAUUUGGCGAUGAUGACUUAAGAACUACUAUCAAG